rnacentral:rRNA from 1 species
CCGGCGCACGGGUGAGUAACACGUAUGCAACCUGCCUGCCACAGCCGGAUAAUCGGGAGAAAUUCCGUCUAAUACGGCAUAAUGCAUCGACGGGACAUCCUGUUGGUGCCAAAGGUUAAUUCCGGUGGCGGAUGGGCAUGCGUCGCAUUAGUUAGUUGGCGGUGUAACGGACCACCAAGACGACGAUGCGUAGGGGUUCUGAGAGGAAGGUCCCCCACACUGGUACUGAGACACGGUCCAAACUCCUACGGAAGGCAGCAG